CCUGACGGUAGUCGUAUGCUCGUCUCCGAGACUAAGCCAUGCAAGUCCAAGUACACGUCCUUGAACGACGGAAACUGCGAACGGCUCAUUAAAUCAGUUGCGAUCUACUCGGCGUUCCGCGCCGCCGGAUAACCGUAGUAAUUCUAGGGCUAAUACGUGCGAAGCGCCCGAAGCCGCGAGGCGACGGGCGUUCUCGCCGGAUGUAGGAACCGACCCGGGGACCGCCGGGGCAACCCGGCGCCCCCGAGACGGGGCGAACCACGGUGAAAUGACGGAUCGUCGGCCCCGCGCCGGCGACUCGCCGAAUGAGUUUCUGACCUAUCAACUCGAGACGGCGGGGUAGAGGCCCGCCGCGGUAACGACGGGUAACGGGGAAUCAGGGUUCGAUUCCGGAGAGGGAGCCCGAGAAACGGCUACCACUUCCAAGGAAGGCAGCAGGCGCGCAACUUACCCUAAUCUCGAUUCGAGGAGGU
rnacentral:rRNA from 1 species